ensembl:lncRNA
CUUGAACAUCAGGAAGUUCACAGUUCACGUAUUGCUGAAGCCUGGCUUGGAGAAUUUUGAGCAUUAGGCAUUCCCUAUCAUCUGAAGAUACUGGGAAGAUGAGGCAGGUACAGUGUGUAGCACAGAAAGUGAGAAGGUCAAGUUUCUCCUCUACUCUGGGCUGGCAAGAAUUCAGUUUAACUUGGAAAGAUUAGGAAACUGAGGAUCAGAGAAGAUAGGAUGGGCAGCUAUACUACUGUUUGGACUGGGCCAGCAAAAGCUGUCAACCCCCUCUGAGCAGGGCCAAGUAAAGGACCACCAAGUCACCUGGGACCGGGAAGCAUCCCAGGCCAUGGUCUCCAGGUACCAGGUAAGGAAUGGUUCAUUAAGUCUUCCUUGGUUGGCCAUGUCUCUGGUCAAAUGAAUGAUGCCAGCUCUUUCAUUAAGAGACAUGCUGCGGUUCCAAC